rnacentral:tRNA from 1 species
GCCUGGGUGGCUCAGUCGGUUGAGCGUCUGACUUUGGCUCAGGUCAUGAUAUUGGGGUUCACAGGUUCGAGCCCCGCAUCAGGCU